UGGGUAACCUGCCUCAAAGAGGGGAAUAGCCUCCCCGAAAAGGGGAGAUUAAUACCGCAUAAUAUGUUUAGGUCGCAUGACUUUAACAUCAAAGGAUUUUCUUUUAAGAAAUUCCACUUUGAGAUGGACCCGCGGUGCAUUAGCUAGUUGGUGAGGUAACGGCUCACCAAGGCAACGAUGCGUAGCCGACCUGAGAGGGUNAUCCGGCCACAUUGGAACUGAGACACGGUCCAGACUCCGUAGGAGG
rnacentral:rRNA from 1 species